CUAGUUGGUAAGGUAACGGCUUACCAAGGCGACGAUCAGUAGCCGACCUGAGAGGGUGAUCGGCCACAUUGGAACUGAGACACGGUCCAAACUCCUACGGGAGGCAGCAGUGGGGAAUAUUGCACAAUGGGCGAAAGCCUGAUGCAGCAACGCCGCGUGAGUGAUGAAGGCCUUCGGGUCGUAAAGCUCUGUCCUCAAGGAAGAUAAUGACGGUACUUGAGGAGGAAGCCCCGGCUAACUACGUGCCAGCAGCCGCGGUAAUACGUAGGGGGCUAGCGUUAUCCGGAUUUACUGGGCGUAAAGGGUGCGUAGGCGGUCUUUCAAGUCAGGAGUGAAAGGCUACGGCUCAACCGUAGUAAGCCCUUGAAACUGGGAGACUUGAGUGCAGGAGAGGAGAGUGGAAUUCCUAGUGUAGCGGUGAAAAUGCGUA
rnacentral:rRNA from 1 species